rnacentral:rRNA from 1 species
UGCUCUUUGCAGCAUCGCGUUGACUCCAUGGAUCCCAGCAUAUUCUUCGCCUCCGGCUGAUUUUCUAGUGCCCCGUCGCCAGAAAAAUGGUUUCUUUUGCCCCGUCGGAGCCACCACUGGCCGCUCAGCCGAUUUUCUUACUACUUCCGUCCGUUUCGCCGACCCUGCUCCGGCGCAAGCGACACGCACAAGCGCACCUGCGGCGCUGAGGCUUCGAUUGGUUGGUGAUCUCGGCUUGACCGCGCAGCGUUCAGUAUAAGGACGGGGGCGCCGGAGAGGGGAGAGAGGGAGAGGAGAGGAGGCGGAUCCGUCGGUCGUGCGGCUAUGGAGAUACUGAGCCCGUCGCCGCCGCCCAGCCCGGCCAGGAGCCAGUUCGUCUACGGCGGCGCCGGCGCGCUCCUGCGCCGCGACCAGGCCGGCGCCGGCGCCGGCGCGCUGCUCCACGUCGCCGUCGGGCGGUCGCCGGAGAAGACGCUGCCGCUGCUGCGCUGGGCGUUCCGCCGCUUCGCCUGCGCCCGCGUCGCCCUCGUCCACGUCCACCAGCCCUCCCCGGUCAUCCCCACCCUCCUGGGCAAGAUUCCGGCGGCUCAGGCGACGGAGGAGCUGGUCCUGUCCCACCGCAGGUCCGAGAGGGACGAGAGGAACCGGAUCCUCCUCGCCUACCUCGCCUUCUGUCAAAGGGCGCAGGUGCAGGCAACUGUUCUUGUAACAGAGAACGAGCAGAUCAACGACGGCAUCGUCGCUUUGGUCAGGGAUCAUGGGGUCACAAAGCUUGUCAUGGGUUCUAUACCGGAUAAUUGCUUCAAGUUAAAGGCAGGCCACAACAAGGAAUAUUUUAUGGCAAAGAAUGCUCCAGCAUUUUGCGAAAUUUGGUUUGUAUGGAGAGGAAGACACAUCUGGACCAGAGAAGCAAGCGCAGCCAUUGGCAACAGCAUCUCGGUCUACAACCAGGAUGAUAUUAUGAUGACCAGAAAGAGGACUAGGUUCAGCCCAAAUAGCAACAACGCUGAAUCCAUGCUUGCUGAAGGCACUGUAUCAGAUAAUGGUCGAGUGAACGAUUAUGGAGCUCUUGGAGCUGAUGCCAACCAUUUCUACAAUAUGAGAAUAUCAAAUUUACAGGAUGCAGAAUCUGCAUUCAACUCAACCCUCUGGCCUGAUUCCUCUGUACUUAGGGGAGCAUUGCAGUUACAUUCUAAGGAAAUGUUGGAUGCAAAUCUCAAGCAAGUCAUGGUUGAAGCUGAGGGAUCAAGGAAGGAAGCUUUUCUUGAGCUUCUCAAGCGCAAAGAAAUAGAGUCAAAAGUGGCCAGUGCUUUUGUCAGGGUAAAAGCUUCUGAGUCUUCUAAAAAACGAGAAACGAAAAUAAGGGAGGAACUUGAGGGUUUAUUCGUAGCCACGAGAAAGCAGCAUGAAGAUCUGGCAAGAAGUAAAGAAAAAGCUACGGCUGUGUUGGACUCUUCUAUGAGAAGAUUAGACAUCCUAGAUGCUCGUGCUAAAAACAUGAGCCUUCGGAUGGAUGAAGCUGUGGCGGAGCUUGAGGUGAUUCAAUGUUCCAUAAAUAUUCUCAAGCAGGAAAGAACAAAGGCUCACAAGAAAGAAGAUAGACAUACCAACCAUGUUGAAGAAGGGUGCACAUACAGCCAUUCCAAGUUGCCGAACUGCAGUUCAAUUGUUCUUGGUGGUGAUCCUUGCACCUUUAGACAAUUGACACUGUUAGAUGUGCAAGAUGCAACAUGUAAAUUCUCAGAGAGCUUCAAAUUACGUCCACGGGGUCAUGGGUGCAUUUACAAAGGAAAAGCUAUGAACAGGAGUGUGAUGAUUCAUAAGUUGCACUCACAUAGCAUUAAGAGCUCGAUGCAAUUCCAGAGAGAGGUCUACAUCCUAAACAAAGUGAGGCACCCUCAUCUAGUGACACUGGUUGGGGUAUGCCCAGAGGCACUGUGUCUUGCCUAUGAAUAUCCGAAAAAUGGGAGCCUUCAUGACCAUCUCUUCGGCAAACUCAACAGUACCCCGCCGUUGCCAUGGAAAAUCCGUGCACGCAUUGUGGCGGAGAUCUCAAGUGCUCUGCUGUUCCUGCAUUCAUGUAAACCACAGAUGAUGGUUCACGGUGGCCUGAAUCUCGAGAACGUCCUUCUGGAUUCCGACUUCCACUGCAAGAUAGCCGAUUUCGGUACAUUGACAGAGGAAGACUCGAAGGAUCAUCCAGCAUUGCUGGCACACAAGUCUGAUAUCAACUCCUUCGGCACCGUGAUACUGCAGCUACUAACUGGUAAACAGCCUGGUAGUCCAGGCCUUGCUAGCGAAGUAAGGCGCGCUCUGUCCUGCGGAAAGCUGUCGUCGAUCUUGGAUCCAACGGCUGGGGAGUGGCCAAUGGAGGCGGCCCGAAGACUAGCGGAGUUCGGGCUCGAGUGCAGCGGAGACAGGCCGGAGCUGACUCAGGAAACACUACGAGAACUGGAGCAGCUGCAUUUGAUCAGGGGGCGGCCAGUACCGUCCUUCUUCCUGUGCCCAAUUCUCAAGCAAACAAUGGAUGAUCCUCAGGUGGCUGCGGACGGGGUGACGUACGAGGGACGCGCCAUCCGCGAGUGGAUCGAGGAUGGCCGGGCCGUGGCCGACCUGAAGCUGAAGCACCUCGGCCUCACCCCCAACCACGCCCUUCGGUUUGCCAUUCAGGACUGGCUCUCUCAGCCUCAGUGGUGAAUGAUGAUGAUGAUGAUGAUGAUGAUGAUUCUCCAGCUGAUGAUGAUGAUGAUGAUGAUUCUCCAGCUGCUGUCUUCAGCUUGCAACUUAGCUAGAUAUGUAGAGCCCUCCUGUGUACAUACUUCUGCCACUUCUGAACAGCAGUGUGCUGCUGGCUUAGUGUAGGUCAGUGCAGUGAAUGAUUUUUUGGUUUUUGUUCAGUUUUUUUUGGUGUACGAAUCACUAUUAUUCUCUGUUCAUUGGUGGUAUUUUUGUGUGGUCUGGAUAUUAUUUUGUUUUGAUUUUUUGGAUGCAACAUCAUUUUUCUUUCUUUCUUUCAGGAUACCAAGGUUUCUUCCAUUAAACAUGGCCAGUCUGAUGCUGGGGAGAACCUGUUUUUUUUUGGUGUUGUAUUGGGCUGCUUAGGCUGAAUAUAAGUUACACGGGCCGUACUCUCUGCUGAACCGGGAGGACAAAAGCCCAUCCAAAC